GCUGGAGAGACGGGACGGAAGGAAGCCAGCAUAGCCCAAGGGAGGAACAGAGUGACAAGCAUGGAGGUGGGGAGGUGGUCAGGACUUUGCAGGCCGCAGGGGGCUGGGCAGCAGACUUGAAGGCCUGGGAAGCGUCGGGGGCUGGGCCUGGAACAGGAUGGGGUCGACCUUUGCAAAGAUCCUGGCUGCUGUGAGAUCCGCAGGGCGAGCUGCCUGUCCUCCCUGGGGGGCUGAGGCCUACUGUGAGCCAGAGAGCUCCUGUGUCAGGGGCAAUCUAGCCAGGCGGACUGUGUUAGUCAGCUUUGGGUCGCUGUGACCAAAAUACCUGACAAGAGCAACUGAGAAGAGGAAAAGUUUAUUUUGGCUCAUGGUUUCAGAAGUUCAGUCCACGAUCAGUUGACUCCAUUGCUGUGGGCCCAAGAUCUAUGCCUGAAUUGCAGCACGGUUACAGGAUUUUUGGAGCACUGUACCAGGGUCAUGUGCCCAUUUCUACUUAAACCACUCAAGCUGGGAUUCGGUGAACAUUUGUAACCAGUUACUUGGAGCUAAAACCAGCUUCAGGCUUCAUGGACUAGUCACUGGGAGAUAGCAGGACAACAUUCUCCAGUGUCCCUCCAUAGUGGACGAGGGCUCUAUGGCAUGGAUGAGUGAAGUGAAGGAGGUGUAUCUCCCAUCCAGUAUCCAUCAGCAUCACCUUGGACCUGACUGGCAGGGAUCCAGAAGCUGGGUCCAGAGGCAGCCAGGGAAUUAACCAGUCCUGGAUCCUGUAGCUCCCAACCCUUAACUCUCUUGGAUGGGAGAGUGAUCUGGCUCCCAGGUCCAGGGGCCUGGCCCGUGACUCACAUGCCUCCACCUCUCCCGGAUGAGACUGGUCCUUAAGCAGAAGAGAUAGGGCCCCAGUGAACUUGGGAACUGCAUCUGAGUGUGGGGGGACCCUUUACACUACUGGGUCUGGACACUGCUUCUCCAACCCAAGCCUCAGAAUCAGUCCCAAGUUUGUCUGCCUGUGGCAUGUUCCUGGCCCCAAGCUGGCACCCACACAAUGUCACUCUCCCUGGGCUACCCUGAGACUCGCCCACGGCUGGGGCCUGUCCUCUCUCUUUUCUGUUGCCCUGCACCAAGCCCAGCUGACCUGGGUGUGAAGUCAAUGAUGUAAGGCCCCUGGUCCCACUCAGUAUCUGUUUGUUGUCUUCCCUUGACCUGGCAAGUGGAAUCCGACUACUUCCUGUACUUGAGCAGUGAGAUGCCGGGCCCAAGAGCCACCUUCCUUCCCUGCCUGAGGAGUUUGCUCAUUAACUGGAAUUCCUCUCAUGAUGGCCCUCCUGGCUGCAAGGGGAAAGAGCAGGAGAGGUUUCCAGAGCUCUUUCCUGUUGGUGGUCCUGGCUCUGGGGAAGCUUGGCCAAGGCUUCCUCCUACCUGCCUUUGUGCCCCUCCCCGCUGGGACUCCAGAAGCUUCCCUGGUUGUCUGAGGCCUGACCAGAUCAGCCCUCCCACAGGUUAGAGGACAGCCUCCCUCCUCACAUCCUGGGCCUGUGCUAGAUUGGGCAAAUGGGAACCAGCUGUGGGCCUAACACUGAGAUGACCCAGUGGGAAACAGAGGGGGACAAAGAUCAGGAGGUGUCUCCCACCCGCCAACACACAGCAUAUGCCUCCUGUUCCUGUCCCACUAGCAAAGGGAAGUUAAGAGCACUCCACCCUCUGAGGUCUCAACUUUCCAAAUAAAGAAGUUCUUGGAGGAACCCUAUGGGGAUGAGGGAUCUGUCAGGAUUUGGAGAGACUGCCAUCCUGGUGAGAAUGCUUGUCCUCAGUGACCAGUAGUCACUAUCUGGGAUUCUGCACUUGGACAAAGAAAUUUUUACUGCCAGAAGCACACAGGAACACCAGGACACCGGUGGCUGCUCUACUGAGAGAAGUAGAAGUUUUGACCUUUGAGUCUUCAAGGUCACUGGCAAGUGGGCUCUGCACCCAGUCGAAGUUCAUGAAGUUCUUUCUAAGCAAAAAAAAAAAUAAGAUAUCCUUUGGGGGGGGGCAAAAAUCUAAGUCAUUCUAA